rnacentral:rRNA from 1 species
GACGAACGCUGGCGGCGUGCUUAACACAUGCAAGUCGAACGAAGUGGCGAACGGGUGAGUAACGCGUAAUCAACCUGCCCUUCAGAGGGGGACAACAGUUGGAAACGACUGCGAAUACCGCAUACUGAAGGAGGUGAUUGCGUCUGAUUAGCUAGUUGGAGGGGUAACGGCCCCCCAAGGCGAUGAUCAGUAGCCGGGCUGAGAGGAUGAACGGCCACAAUGGGAAUGAGAACAGGCCCAGACUCCUACGGGAGGCAGCAGUGGGGAAUCGUCCGCAAUGGACGAAAGUCGGACGGAGCAAAGCCGCGUGAGUGAUGACGGCCUUCGGGUUGUAAAGCUCUGUUAAUCGGGACGCGGUACCGGAAUAGAAAGCAACGGCUAACUACGUGCCAGCAGCCGCGGUAAUAC